AGCGGCGGACGGGUGAGUAACGCGUGGGUAACCUGCCUCAUACAGGGGGAUAACAGUUGGAAACGGCUGCUAAUACCGCAUAAGCGCACAGUACCGCAUGGUACCGUGUGAAAAACUCCGGUGGUAUGAGAUGGACCCGCGUCUGAUUAGCUAGUUGGUGGGGUAACGGCCUACCAAGGCGACGAUCAGUAGCCGACCUGAGAGGGUGACCGGCCACAUUGGGCUGAGACACGGCCCAA
rnacentral:rRNA from 1 species